GUGGGGAAUUUUGGACAAUGGGCGCAAGCCUGAUCCAGCAAUGCCGCGUGCAGGAAGAAGGCCUUCGGGUUGUAAACUGCUUUUGUACGGAACGAAAAGACUCCUUCUAAUAAAGGGGGUCCAUGACGGUACCGUAAGAAUAAGCACCGGCUAACUACGUGCCAGCAGCCGCGGUAAUACGUAGGGUGCAAGCGUUAAUCGGAAUUACUUGGCGGAAAGCGUGCGCAGGCGGUUAUAUAAGACAGAUGUGAAAUCCCCGGGCUCAACCUGGGAACUGCAUUUGUGACUGUAUAGCUAGAGUACGGUAGAGGGGGAUGGAAUUCCGCGUGUAGCAGUGAAAUGCGUAGAUAUGCGGAGGAACACCGAUGGCGAAGGCAAUCCCCUGGACCUGUACUGACGCUCAUGCACGAAAGCGUGGGGAGCAAACAGGAUUAGAAACCCUGGUAGUCC
rnacentral:rRNA from 1 species